GUAUGGCUUUUAUUUAAUUUUAAGAUGUUACAUAAGUAAUAAAAAAAUGAUUUUAUUGAAACUAUCUGUUAAUAAUUUGUCACUGAUACCGGUUUCCUUCAGUUAAUUCUGCAUUUAUUUGGAUAACAAUAUUGUUUGGUGGUAAAUUAUUUUCCAUACUAAAAUCAAUUUCAUCAGUUUCGUUGAUUAAUUAACAUUGACUAAUGGCAAGUUAUUGGAUAUUCAAAUGUUAUGCAAUACUGCACAAACAUUUAUAAUGUUUUCAGCCUUUUCUGGUGAGUAGUGAAGGACUCUGUGUUUCAAAAGACACCUAAAUCGAAUUUUCAAAAUACAAUUGCAGUGUUCAAUAAUCGAUCUAGUUUUACACAACCGUUCAUUAUACCGGGCUUUAGGACUGUUUACAUGUGGUUUAAAUAAUAGAGUCAUUAACCAGGGUUAACCCAUAUCCCGAAUCACCGAGUAAAAAGUAAAAUGUUUGUCCUAUUUAAUGUAAGUGUUUUAACG